ensembl:lncRNA LGALSL-DT LGALSL divergent transcript
GGCGAUGGGAGGCGAGGUCGAGGGAAGAUUGGGUGCUGGGGGUGGUAUUCCAGAGUGGGAGACUUGGCAGGAUUUCUUUCAGAGAAUUCCAACAAAAUCGGGGGAAGGAUUCAUUCUGCUCUCUAGGGCAGAAAGAGAAUGGAAGGUCUGAAGGCUUGCAGAAAUAAAUGUGUGACCUGAAAGAACGAAGCAGAGAGGACUCAAGGGGAGUGCCAGCUGAUUACUCUGGGCUCAAGAACACCUUUUGAGGACUUAUGGAUCUGGGCCUCAUAAAAACAGAGAAGGUAUGACAUAGCUCCACCUACAUGCAAGGGGAGCCAGGAAGUGCAAUCCCUGGCUGGGCUGCCACGUCUCAGAAACCAUUAAGCCUAUGGAAGGUCUCUGGAUUUGAUGGCAAAUGGCAGCAGAAAUGUGGAAAAGAUCAAAGUGAUGUCAAGGUUGAUCUCUGAGUUUGGCAUGGCUGAACUCAAACAUCAUUUGCCAUGGACCCACAGUGUCUUCAGUAGCUGAGUGUGGUGUCAUUCCCC